rnacentral:lncRNA from 1 species
UUAGAAUAUUUUAAUAUUAUAUAUUCAUUUUGUUCAACUAUACUGACAAUAUGUAAGAUAUGUGGGGCCCUCUUAUUAAAAUAGAAGCCAGGUAAAUAUUUAGGCACAACAACCUGUGCCGGCUUGUCCAAAAAACAAUCCAAUCUCAGUCUUCAAAUCAAUUGAUCAACGGUCCGAAAAGGGGUUGUUGCCACAGUGUCUAUGGCAACCGGUUGCCAUGGAUGGAUUCUCUCUCUCUAUAUAUAUAUAUGGGGAAUGAUCCAUAACAUCUAUAUGCUAUGGAAUAAAAAGUGGCAUAUAACAUCUAUACCAUCCAUCUAAUUAAUGAAUGGCUGUGAUAUUAUUGAGAGAAAACCCGUCGCUAGACUUAUUAGCGGACAUAUUAAGUAAUUUUUCCAGACGCUAUUGCCCCCUGUUAGCACUGCUGACCACUUGAAAAUAACAUCAUCCGCUAUAGUACAUCAUACACGAACAGCAACAUACUACACCAUACUACACAGGUAGCUUCAUCAUACAACUCCUGCAACAUUCAUCAUACAAGAAAUGAUCCAAUUAACCAAGGGCAAAAAUGAUCCAAUUAACCAAGGGCAAAAAAAUUAACGAAGGCAGAGGAUUGGAUCCCAUAAUGAUCCAAUUAACCAAGGGCAAAAAAUGACACGAAGGCAGAGGAUUGGAUCCCUUAAUGAUCACCAAGGGCAAAAAAUGAAACCCCAGCAAGUAUGGCAGUACCCCAGGCGUGGGAAUACCACUUGCUGUACUGCUUAAUCGCAAACUUCCAUUGUUCCCGGAGGGUGGCAGGGUCCGAGUUCGUGGGGUCCGGGGGAUUGAGGUGACGGGGCUUCUGGCCACUCGAAUACCCGCUUGUACUGCUACCCUUUUCGCCUAAGGCCCUAGAACUUGAAGAAAAGAAUAAGAAGAAGGUAAAUUGUUUUGGGUAGAAUUAGUGUUAUCGUGAUUUCCAGCUGUUUGUGUAUGAUGUGGGAUGGAUCCAUCCGCUAGACUUACUAGCGGAUGAUGUUAUUUCCAAGUGGUCAACAGUGCUUAGCAGGUCGGCAGUUAAAAAUUACUUAAUACGUCCGCUAGUAAGUCUAGCGGACGGGUUUUCUCUGAAUAAUAUCACAAUCAUUCAUUAAUUAGAUGGAUGAUAUAGAUGUUAUAUACCAC